rnacentral:snoRNA from 1 species
GGCCCUAAUUAACAGUAGUGACAGAAUUAUGAACAAUAUUUUAAAUUCUCAAAAAAGGCAUAAAUUAAAUUCUUUUGCAGCCAUUAUUGCCCUUGAAUUUGGUUUCUUUGGCGUAGGCGCUACAUGAGGAACAGUU